GACGAACGCUGGCGGCGUGCUUAACACAUGCAAGUCGAACGGAAAGGCCCUGCUUGCAGGGUACUCGAGUGGCGAACGGGUGAGUAACACGUGGGUGAUCUGCCCUGCACUUCGGGAUAAGCCUGGGAAACUGGGUCUAAUACCGGAUAGGAGCCAUUUUUAGUGUGAUGGUUGGAAAGUUUUUUCGGUGUAGGAUGAGCUCGCGGCCUAUCAGCUUGUUGGUGGGGUAAUGGCCUACCAAGGCGGCGACGGGUAGCCGGCCUGAGAGGGUGGACGGCCACAUUGGGACUGAGAUACGGCCCAGACUCCUACGGGAGGCAGCAGUGGGGAAUAUUGCACAAUGGGCGCAAGCCUGAUGCAGCGACGCCGCGUGGGGGAUGACGGCCUUCGGGUUGUAACUCCUUUCGCUAGGGACGAAGCUUUUUGUGACGGUACCUAGAUAAGAAGCACCGGCUAACUACGUG
rnacentral:rRNA from 1 species